rnacentral:lncRNA from 1 species
UAAAUCAUAUAUGAAAAUUUAACCAUUGAUUAUUAUUUACAUUUACGCUUCAUUGUUCUCAUCAAAUUUUGUUUUUUCAGAUUUUGUUUUUUAAAAACUUGAUCUAUUAGAGGAUGUAGGAAGAUGAAUGGUUUGGAUUGUUGAUAUUAUAUUCAGAGUUUUACGGUUAGUGAAAACAUUGCUUAAUGUUUAUAAAGUUUCUACAAACUAUAUGACAUCGACUCAUAUUUCUGUUAACCGUAAAUAUCGAAACGUGAUAUAAAAAAUCUGAACCGUUCAUCUACUUACAUCCACCAGAUGAUCAUGUUUUCAGAAAAGAAAUUUUUUAAAAUGAAAUUCAGUAAGAAGAAUAAAGCAUAAAUGACAAUCGACGGUUAAGUGUUGGAUUUUGAAGUUGACCCCUUCAUGAAAGUUGUAAAGCUUGUCACUAUGAGUGAUUGUAUUUUUUAUUUUUUUACAUUUUUUACACUUCUACAAUAAUUAUUAUUAAUUUUAAUAAUUUUGCCCUCAAAUAAAAAACAUUAUUCAUGAUGGUUUGGAGGAUUUUAAAAAUCUAAACAAUAAUGUAAGUGUAACCAUUAUCUAAUUGUGGAGGAAUAAUGAUGAAUCACGAGUAUUUAUAUAUUCUUUCACAUUUUUUGUGACAGCCCGUCCCAAAUUUUACGUUUUUAUUAAUUUUAUAAGUGUGAAUUUACGAAAAUGCCCUAGAGGCAAGGACUUUGACUUUCGCGGAUCUUUGGUUAGAGUGACAUAUGACUUAUUCUUUUAGCAUAUUCUCGUGGUACUCAUCACUAUGAACGCAUAGGCGAAAGCCGUUUGCGAGUCUGAAUUAUAACGGUAUAGUUACGGACAUUUGAAGUUGGUUAUUUAAAGGUAGUUAAAUUAUUUGAACCCCCACCUAGUGGGAAGACUAACCAAUCAGCCUUUAAG